GAUGAACGCUGGCGGCGUGCCUAAUACAUGCAAGUCGAGCGAACGGACGAGAAGCUUGCUUCUCUGAUGUUAGCGGCGGACGGGUGAGUAACACGUGGAUAACCUACCUAUAAGACUGGGAUAACUUCGGGAAACCGGAGCUAAUACCGGAUAAUAUUUUGAACCGCAUGGUUCAAAAGUGAAAGACGGUCUUGCUGUCACUUAUAGAUGGAUCCGCGCUGCAUUAGCUAGUUGGUAAGGUAACGGCUUACCAAGGCAACGAUGCAUAGCCGACCUGAGAGGGUGAUCGGCCACACUGGAACUGAGACGCGGUCCAGACUCCUACGGGAGGCAGCAGCAGGGAAUCGUCCGCAAUGGGCGAAAGCCUGACGGAGGAACGCCGCGUGAGUGAUGAAGGUCUGCGGAUCGUAAAACGCUGUUAUUAGGGAAGAACAUAUGUGUAAGUAACUGUGCACAUCUUGACGGUACCGAAUCAGAAAGCCACGGCUAACUACGG
rnacentral:rRNA from 1 species